GGAGAUUUGAAAAUGCCCUUAAGAGAUUAACAUUAUCCAUGGUCUUUUGUGUGGUGUCUUCAGAUGAAGGAAGGGACUAAAGUGCUCUGGGCCCUCUUUCAGAACGGUACCAAUCCCGGUCAUGGGUGAUACUCCAUCCUCAGGUCAUGAUCACUGCCCCAAGGGCUUGCCUCAAAUUCCAAAACUUUGAGAGUUUUCCUAAUGUGGAGGGUACAAACCCUGGCCUAUGAUAGCAGUGGCUACAUUUUUGGUGAAAGCAGCAUUUCUGGAAAGACCCUCAUAACUAUUUUAUUCUAAUAGUUUUAAUACAGUCAUGUGAUAAUUUUGGUCUAAUUUCAUUUUCUCUAGCUACUUAGAUACACUUUCUAUCUGAAGAAUAUACAGCACCUUCCAAUGCACCUUAAAGCAGAGACUACACGUACAUCAACUACUUGUUAGAAUAAUUUCAGUUCAGUCUGCUCCCUAGGGAGGGAAUUGUUGAAAUUUGGAGUUUGUUUUGAGCUUUGUGGUUUUAUUAUCAAUUUUUUUUAUUUUUUAGCGUUUUGGAAAUUAGUUCAAAGCCAUUGGAACGCUUCAGAUGGAACAUUUUUAAGCAAUAAAUCCCAUUUCCAAAAAAGAAGAGAUUGCCAUUAGUCUCAGAGACUUGGAACUUCAGGCGUUUUGGAUAGUGUUGAGACUGGGGACUUUUGAAAUUGGACUGAAUGUAUUUUGCAUUAUGGUACGCUCCAACUUAUGGAGCCCAGGGAGUGGGUGGAACGUGGCGGUUUUAACAAGAACGGCCCCUAUGGGCUCAUACUUUGAAUGCUAGCCACCAGGGAAUGGCACUGUUUUGAAAGAAUUAGGAGAUGUGGCCUUGUCGAAGGAAGCGUGUCACUGAGGGUGGCAGGAUUUGAGGGUUCAAGAGUCCAUGUCUCCCUGGGCCAAGGAUCAGGGUGUAACUCUCAACUGCUUCUCCAGCACCAUACCAUGCUGCCAUGCUUCCCGCCAUGAUGAUAAUGAACUGAACCCCUGAAAUUGUGAGCAAGUUGCAGUGGCUAAGGCUCUAGGGUACUGUACUGGCUGGUUUUGUGUGUCACAAAUAACCUCUGUGAAAAACAUUUUGGCUGAAGCAUUGACUGUUCGGAGUUAAACAUGGAGCAGGCACAGCCUCCAUUUAAUAGACCAUGCCUUGAGCCUGACAGGUUCCCCAACAGGCGCAAAGGGCACUUUCUUGUUAGUGUCAUCUGGGGAAGGGUCAGCUGAAAAGGUUAGUGUUUUCAGGUGAUUGACAUGAAAUUAAGCUUUGAAAAAGCACUUGUGAAAAACUUAAUAAUGAGAUCACACGACUUUUUUUUCUAGAAAAUACAGUGAGACUCAUGUGAGAGAAGACAGUUUUCUGUUAAGGGAAACAGUGGUGGUGUAUUACAGUGCACACCCAGUCUGUGAUCUUCAUAGUGUUCGCAAGUGUGAAGACAACUUUGCAACAUACUCAGUCACUUUUGUACUUUAAAAAUAAGCCCAAAGUUUCAAUCCAGCGUAUCAGUUAGUAACACCUUAAUUCUCUUUGCUCUGCUGUCUCUUCUCUGUCCGCCUGCCCUAUUUUUCUCCCUCCAUCUUGAAGACAGGACUUCUUACUGAUCCCAGGUUGGCCUGGAUGUAGCUCAGGCUGGCCUCCAAAUCAUGGCCUCUCACUUCCCACCUUCUAGACACGCCCCUGUGUCCAGCUUCAGUCUUUUGAAUGUCAACCCUCUGACUGGGGAGAUUGAUCAGUGGUUAGGGCACUGGUUGCUCUUGCAAAGGACCCGGUUUCAAUUCCCAGCACCCACAUGUCAGCUCACAACUCUCCGUGACUCCAGUUCCAGGGGAUCUGGUGCCCUCACAGAGACAUGAAUGUAGGCAAAACACUAAUGCGCAUAAAAUAAAAAUAAAUGCUGUCACUUCUGAAUCAAAAGUGUUGUUUCAUAGGUUGUAUGGCUAGAAACAGCAGAUUUUACCUAGUGAAGGGUCAGACUGGGAAAAAGUGACCAGGUAGGGCUACAUGAUGUGUGUAUUUUAAUGUGUCAGCCUAGGCUUGUGCUGGAAGGGAUGUCUUAAAACAGAAAGGACAUAAUUAAGCACAAAAGAUGGCUGGGUUGUGUCUCCCACCACUCCAGGGUUAUGCAUUAACUUGAUCUGAGCCCUCACUUUAGCAAACACAGAAGGAAAAUAAUGAAAUAGAGCUGAUUUCCUGCUAGGCUCCUGAUAGUUUCAUCUUGGUGUAUAAUACAGCUUCUUUUCUCCCACAGGCAUUUUGUUGCUUCUUAGGGUUAGAAGAACUGAGCUAGCAAGAGUCUGUACUGUCUGUGCCUGACAGGAGAAUUUUCGAAAAGCUCAGAGCCACUGGUCAGGGUGUAGCUCUCAGUUCCUGCCCAAGUGACUGACUGCCUGUAUGUCUCCAUGCUCCCCGCCAUGAUGAAAAAGGACUAAACCUGUGAAAUUGUAAGCAAGCCCCCAGUUAAAUGCUUCCUUUAAGAGCUGCCUUGGUCAUGGUGUCUCUUAACAGCAACAGAACAGUGACUAAGACAUCAGGCUUUGCUAAUGACAACACAGAAUCAGUCCUGUUUGGGUCAUCCUGGAGUUCUGUGGUCAGAGUUUUGACUGAAGUCCAAGCAAUCAGUUUAUCCUCAGAAACCUCAACAUUUCAGAACAUCUGCUACUUGGGUUCCAGAAAGUAAUGUUAGUUGGCACGGGUGUAUUGGGUCAUUCUCCUGUGGAGGAUAUUCCAGUUAGGGUAAGUUUUACAUUUCAGGCUGGGGAGCAUGUCUAUAUUUCAUCCCUGAGGUAGAACUAGAUUUAUGCUUUAUUUUCAUAGUAGGGUCCUCCUUUAUUUAGACGAAAUUGAAAACUGAAACAUGAAGAGCCAAGUGGGCAUGGUGGCACAUGCCUUCAAUCUAGUCUUGGGAGGGCUAAGAUUCUUGGAGGCAGUAGACAGUAGCUAAGAGGGGUCCUAGAGCACCUUCUGUGUGGAGCUGCCCAUUGUCUGCAUUGAAUCAGGGACCAAAUUCUGGAGUCCAUCCAUUUUGCCUCUGAAUCAUAUCUAAAAUGGGAGAUUGCAUUUCAGUGUCUUUUGUGUAGAAUCCUACAUUUUUUGAAGAAUACUUUUCUUCUUUGACAGCUUCCUGCAUACAUACAGUGUGUUUGGGUUGUGUCCACCCCAACUCUCCCAUCAUGCACUCUGCCACCUUUCACCACAUCCCACUCCUACCUUUCCUAUGAUUUUAAUAAAAAAUCAAUAAUCUUUGAAAAAAAUUUCCCCAGUCUAGUACAAAUGGAAGAAAAUGGUUUAGAAACAGUUAUGGACCAGCUAGCUAUUCCCUCACCCCUUCUUUCCCUUCAAGUAAAUCCCCCACUGAAUGAUUUUACAAUGGCUCGUAUUUUUCAGGCAGCCUGACGGUUCCAAAGACAUCAUAGGAUUGAAGAGUAGCAUGGGGGUGGAGGUUUGUGCCCAGCACUAACAUGGCGGCUCACAGCCAUCCAUGCAACUCCAGUUUCAUGGGGAUAUGAUGACUGCUUUUAGCCUCCAUGGGCACCAGGCAUGGACAUACUUGCUGGCAAAACACUCACCCACAUAAAGUAAACAUUUUAGUAUUGCAGUAUAGGGGUGUCUUACCUGCCUAUGUGGAGAGGAGGGACAUCCACAGUGACUGGCGAAGGCUUAGAGGAGGAGAUUAAUUGAACAUUGAGGGCUUUAUUGUUGGCCUUUAUGGAUUUUCUUGUUUUAAGGAAGUCUCACAAUAUAGAACAGGUUAGCUUCAAACUGAAGACCCUCCUACCUCAGCUUCCCAAUGCUGGCGUUGUCGAUGGACACGAACCACUCUGUCCGCUUAAGGAGCUGCACUUUGGAAGGAUGGUGUGACUAUCCCGUUGGCCAAGUUCGGGGGGGCAAGAGGGGUUCCCAAAGACUAAAUCUGGAACCGUAAAGGUAAAGGUGAGAACAGAAUUGAGAUGCAGUAAGCAGGAGCAUCCUGUUCUUAGGACUCGUGGGCUAGGGAGCCAAGAGGAGCCAAGUAUGGGCUCUUCCAUGGCCAACCCUGCAGAUGGGUGACAGAUUUGGGCAGGUAGGGAUUCACUGGAAGGUUUGUCAGGGGAGUAGAUGAUUAAGUCCUACUUCACCUUUGGUAUGGGCAGUACAUAGGAGCACUAGGGAAGAAGGUGACCCUUGAUGGGGCCUGUGGCCGGGCAGCAUCACGGACUACAGCCUCACUUUACAGUAAAGGCACUAUUGGGUACUUCAGGUCAUUCUCCAAGUGGAAGAAUUUUUGUAUGUGAAAGCCUGAGUAGUUACAAAUGCCAUAGUUCCUGCUAGUGAUUGCAUCUCUACUUGAUCAUUUGUCUCUGUACACUCGCAGAGAUGGCACAGGGGGUAAUGUGUUUGCCACACAAGCAUGAACACCGAGUUCUGACGCCUACUACCCACAUAAGAAAGCCCCUGGCCUGUAAUCCUGGUGCUGGGGAGGUGGACACAAGAAGAUAACUUGAGGCUUACUGGCCAGCUGAUCUUAAUUUCAUGAGCUUAGGAUCAGUGAGAAGCCCUGCCUCAAAUAAUAACAUAGAAAGCCACUAAGAAAGACACCUAGGCCUGGCAGUGAUGGCUCACGCCUUUAAUCUCGAGAAGCAGAGAGGCAGGUGGAUCUCUGUGAGUUUGAGGCCAGCCUGGUUGGUAUACAGAGUUCGAGGACAGCACAGAGAAACCCUGUCUUGAAAAACAACAACAAUGGAGCAAGAUUAACAAACAAGUCUCCUCUCCAUUGUCAGCCACCCAAUUCAGUGAAUAGGGCAACCCCAUCCAAACUAGGUACCAAUGGAAUCCACUCCUUCCAGAAAUGAGCGGUUUCUGAGCAACUUAAGACUGGUCAGCUAUCAAUGGACCUUCUCAAUAUUCAAGAAGAGGUCUCUGUUACACAGGUUACAAGCUUGCUUCUUCAGACCCAAAGAGUUGUAGUGGCCGGUGACCCCGUCUGCUCGAUGAUAGAUAGGAUCUCUCAUAUGGAAAAGCAGCUUCAAAGCAUUGCCACACCUACCGCGGGGGCCCUGCACAACUACAUGGUGAAGAUGGUAGACAGUAUUCAGUGUUGCUGCUCAGAGCUGGUGGCCCUUGUAAUGACAGCUGAAUGAUUGGCAUGGGCCGCAACAGCCACCAGUGACUGGAGGGAACAUGGGCAGGAACCUGCCAGGCCUUCCCUGAAUGAAUCAGAGCGCUGGAGAAACUGUGAACCUACCCUAAAUCAGCAGCCCCAUCACGGCAACAAAGACUGCUCGUAGUCUAAAUGGAGAGACUUUCUCUAAGCCCCCACGUGACAGCCCUUGAGUUCCUCUGCUUGCUCUAUGACCAUCUGGAUGGCCCUUACCAGCUUGCUCAAAUAAUAGCCCGAGGAGCCCAAAGACAUGAUGCUGUGGACAUUUGCAAUGCUGAGUUUCCAGCUUGCCUAAUGGAGGGAGACUUAAGUAUACACUGAUGAAAAUUUGUUCACCUGGUCCCAAGUCUAGCUGAGGCUGGUCCCCUAGAGCUGCACGUCAGGACUCAAGAAGAAAUCCCUCAUGCAUGUCGAUCGAACAUCAGAACUGUCCCCUCCAGCCCACGCCUGGAUCGGGGAUGGGUGUGUGUCUUCAUCUUACUUUCAGGUGAAAAGUUAGGGCUGAAAGUUUAGUGUGAUCAAGGCCAUAGCCAGAGUCUGCACACAAGCAGUCUCUUGGCUCUCCAGACAGACAGAUCUCCCACAGUGGAAGAGCCACCAGCUCGCUGCUCAACCCUAUCCACCCCUUGGCCACAGUCACCACUCCAUUAGCACACCCUACACUAAUAGUAUCAAGAAAAAAAAAGGAGCUGGGUGGUCGUGGAGCACUCAGCAGGUAGAUCUUAGUGAGUUCGAGAUCAGCCUGGUCUUGGGCUAGUUCCAGGACAGCCUCCAAAAACCCUGUUUUUUUUUGAGGGGGCGGGUGAGAGGAAAGACAAAGUCACAUAAUUAUGUGUUUUGACCUGUGACCUCCACAUACACACAUGAACAUUGAUACACCUACACACAAAAGACUAUUACUUGUUUUUCUUUGGGAUAAAUGCUAGAAAAGAUUACCUAAGUGUCUGUGCAUGUUAAAUUGUUAUUUAAUUCGGGGAAAACCCUGUAUGGACAGUUUUUCUUUUUAACUCAGUAGACAUUUAUAUUGAAGACACAUAAUAAAUAAUUGGAAAUAAAACUUUCAAGAUUUAGUAUUUGCAAUUAGUACUAAGUGUAAGUACCCCUAUUUUUAUCCUCUGACAUCAGUAUGUAAAUGAGGGUGACAUUUUACUAUUUGGGGAAGUGUGAUUAUUCCUGCCUGCCAUUCAGGGAAGUGCUUGCAGUAACAAGUAGAUGCACAAAAGACUAUUUAUGUCCUUUGUGGAUAAUGUUGGGGAAACACUAUGGAAAAUUACUCCUCUUGGAGGAACUUUUGUCCAUUGUUACUUGGCUGUGUUAAUGACCCUGCUUAUCAUCAAAAUAGUUAACUUCAAAACUUCAUUAAAACGCAAGUUAAAAUUAGGUUUAAGCUGAGUCCUUGUGCAUAUUUUAAGUGGCAUACGCUCAGCAUCUGCUUGAAGGGCAGUCUGGAUGAGAAACAGCUCAGCAUGGGCCGUUGCUGUAUGCCCAGAUGCAGUGCAGAGUGGAGUGUGCCACAACUGAGCUGAGCACAGUUCCCAGGGGAAGGUAUCCAGGGGAUGUCAGGAGCUUGACCUCACGUGAGCAAUUUCCCUAUCACUGAAUGCCAGAGAUGAAAGUCCCUCCUCCACUGUUAGAAAAUUCUAGAAGGCCUUUCUACCUACCUGGCAUUCCACUCUAGGAAGCAGGCUUUUGUGUGCCACAAGAGGGAGCUCCUGAGCUAAAGCAUGGCUUCCUCUUUCUUUUGCUGGUGUUUGUUUUGUUUUGGGGUCUCAUUAUGUAAUUGGCCAGGCUGGAAGGAACUAUGUAGACCAGGCUGGCCUCGAGAUCACAAGAGAUUUACCUACUCCUCUUUCCCAAGCCCUGCAAUUGAAAGGCACACAUCACGAUGCCUGGUUUUUGCUGGUAGUUGCGUAGAGAAAAACUACAAGCACACUGUAUUUGUGUUUAAGUAGUUUUAAUGUGUCAUUUUCAGUGUUGGAAAAGGUUCAGGAUUUGGAAGGGAUAAUCUUGGGACCUCCCUUCGCUGCAGUGUCUUCUUACAUGUCUUUCUCUGUGACUUGGUGACAGGUUUAAACACUAUCCCAAUUCAGUCGGCCCGUGGUUCACAUUGCAGUGCUGUUCCCGGUGAAGUAGACAUAUCAGCCUCCUGUGGUUUACUCCCCCUCACGUGGAAUCUGAUACUGCCCUGAGCAGAAGAAAGUGGAAUUUCUGUAGAAAGCAGGCAUGAUUUUAUGUUACUGUGCAGCCCCAUGGUUGCACGAGCUCACCUCCCACCUCCGUGGUUCUGUUGUAAUACCUCCAUGCUCCUUUGGUCACAAGAGGUCAGCCCUCUAGUUCAGGUGGGGGCAGAAAGGAGGGAGAAAGUGGUUGACAAAGAGGCAAGCUGAACUCUUUAAGUUGGUCUUUAAAAUCCGGCAUCAUUUACAGAGAAAGCAAUACAGUAUUCAAAUGGCAUGUUAUUGAACCAUGCGUAUUCUCCCCACAAGCCCUUUUCUCCUCACUACCUUAAAUAAACAAACACACACUCAAACAUACGUAGACAGGGCCAUUUCACAGCAUGCUGUAUUGUGGUGCCUCUUCCAAAAUAAAGUCCCAGUUGUAUCUGUUGCAAGUAAGGCUCCAGGGCAGCAGAGGCUGUGGCGAUAGCGAUGAAGAUUGUCAAGGAGAUUCCAGGUUUAAUGCCUAUGGAAGAGAAGGAAUUAGGAUUGGCCAGAGGGCAUAUUGGUCCAGUCAUAAAGCCUCCAGAGAGGCUUUAGCUGAUUCCAGGGUGAGAGCCAAGCCACUGUUGCUUCACACUGGCCAGUCACUGGAUUAAGAUUGGCUUGGCCGUGGGAUAGGACAGAUGAGGGUACCGCUUCUGCAGACAGCUGUCAUCUCACAGCACUCUUAGGAGCUGGGGAGGAAGCUUUAUGUACACACAAGGGUCCAAGACAUCACGUCUUAGUGUUCUCCACAGUCCGUACUGUGUGUAUCGUCUGACCAGCGACGUGACUGUGAGUUAUUUAUAUUCAGUGUUUAUAUUGUUAGCUGUGUGGGGGGUGAUGUAGUUAUUGUGUGCGCUCUGAUGUGGAGGCUAGCAGUAGAUGUCUAAUGCCUUUCCUCCAUGGCUCUCUCUCUCUCUCUCUCUCUCUCUCUCUCUCUCUCUCUCUGUCUCUGUCUCUCUCUCUCUGAACCUGAAGCUCAUCAGUUUGGCUUUGCCACAUCUCUCUGCGCCCUCACUCCAGUGCUGGGGUUACCGGCAUGAGCCGAUGUCCUGGGCUUUUUACUAAGUCCUGGGGACCUGAACCCAGGUUCACCACCUAAGCUGUCUCCCUAGAUUUAUAUUUUAAAAUAUAUUUUCCUUUUGAAAGACUUGUAUUUGUGGUCUUUUACUCUUAGAGUAACAGUGCACUUUCCCCCACCUUGUAGCGAAUGUACCCGAGUCCCUCUGGGGUGGAUAACUAGAAAGUUCCAGGGUCUUACUGCACCCACAGCUUCAAAUUUAAUAGCUGACUUGAACUUGCUCUUUGAAGUGGCUGCAUUGUGCCACUGCCUCAUUAACACUUGUCAUUGUCAGAGUUUAAGUCAAAAUUAAGGGUAUGAAAUGGUAUCUUGAAGUUUUAAUUAGAAUUGUGUUGAUUUUAUAUGGGAGAUUCAGAAUUUUGUGUUACCAGCUGUGUGUGUGUGUGUGUGUGUGUGUGUGUGUGUGUGUGUGUGUGUGUGUUUAAGUUGGUAGUCAGUCAUUUGAAUGUUUUUUUUAAAAAGACUUUAAAACUUUUAUGUGUGUGGUGUUUGUAACAUUUUUUUACUAAGUACUGACAUUUAAAAUAUUAAUAAAUAAAUAGAUCGCUUAUGUAACCAUGUCCC
rnacentral:lncRNA from 1 species